CUCCUGAUGAUAUACACUGUAAAAAAUUACUGAUGCAAAAAGUUGUACAAAUGAGGAAAUACAUGUUGGCUCAACAUAAUGGUUGUGUCAAAAAAGAAAAAUAUGUUUGGUCAAUGAUUGCAUGAUUUCCAUGACUGUACUACAAAAUGUUCAUCAAGAGAAAAUAAAUAAUUGUGUUGACAGAACUUUUAACGUUGCACAAAAAAUAUUAUGUUGGCCGAGCAAGAGGGAACAGCGUCAAUCGUCUGAGCAUGCGCAAAGGAGUUCUACCAGGCGCCUCCUGGAAUUUCCCCCACCACGAGUCACGACAUUGCAGUGCAGAAGAAAGAAAUUCAUACAGGUUUGA
ensembl:lncRNA